AAACGAAGAAUAAUACCCUAUAAAACCAUAAAAGCACAUGCUAGAAUGGUCAAAGUGAUAGCGGUGUAAGAUGGACUUGCGUCUGAUUAGCUAGUUGGUGAGAUAAAAGCUCACCAAGGCAACGAUCAGUAGCCGGCUUUAGAGAGUGUACGGCCACAUUGGGACUGAGACACGGCCCAG
rnacentral:rRNA from 1 species